rnacentral:rRNA from 1 species
UACGGGGGGAGCAAGCGUUGUUCGGAUUUAUUGGGCGUAAAGGGCGCGCAGGCGGCUACGCACGUCCGUUGUGAAAUCGCUCGGCUCAACUGGGCGGGGUCGGCGGAUACGGCGUAGCUGGAGCAAGCUAGGGGGCAAUGGAAUUCCCGGUGUAGUGGUGGAAUGCGUAGAUAUCGGGAGGAACACCAGUGGCGAAGGCGGUUGCCUGGAGCUUUGCUGACGCUGAGGCGCGAAAGCGUGGGGAGCGAUCCGG